UACGUAGGGUGCGAGCGUUAAUCGGAACUACUGGGCGUAAAGCGUGCGCAGGCGGUUUUGUAAGCCAGAUGUGAAAGCCCCGGGCUUAACCUGGGAAUGGCAUUUGGGACUGCAAGGCUCGAGUGCGGCAGAGGAGACUGGAAUUCCUGGUGUAGCAGUGAAAUGCGUAGAUAUCAGGAGGAAUACCGAUGGCGAAGGCAGGUCUCUGGGCUGACACUGACGCUCAUGCACGAAAGCGUGGGGAGCGAACAGG
rnacentral:rRNA from 1 species